GCCUGGAUGGUUCAGUCGGUUAAGCAUCUGACUUCGGCUCAGGUCAUGAUCUCACAGUCCGUGGGUGCAAGUCCCACAUUGGGCU
rnacentral:tRNA from 1 species